GGAAGAAAAAAAAUACCUCUUGGUUUGAGGACUGUCGUGCGCAAGCCGGCUUUCCUUGCACUUUCCAGUCUAUGUUUUAUAAUAUACACCUAAAGUAUGUUUCAGAAUGUCAUUUAAUGGGCAUAACUGCCUUUAAUUACCAUACAACUUUCAACAACGGAUCUCUUGGCUCUCGCAUCGAUGAAGAACGCAGCGAAAUGCGAUAAGUAAUGUGAAUUGCAGAAUUCAGUGAAUCAUCGAAUCUUUGAACGCACCUUGCGCUCCUUGGUAUUCCGAGGAGCAUGCCUGUUUGAGUGUCAUUAAAUUCUCAACCUUUUCAAUCUUUUAUUGGUUGAAUUAGGUUUGGAUGUGGGAGUCUUUUUGCUGGCUUCUUUAAGAGGUCGGCUCUCCUUAAAUUUAUUAGCAGGACCUUUGUUGCCCUCUCAGUGUUAGUGUGAUAAUUAUCUACGCUAUUUGCUGAAAGCAACUCAUAAAAUAGGGUUUCCAGCUGCUAAUCGUCUCUGUAGACAAUUUAAUGAC
rnacentral:rRNA from 1 species